AUGUAUGACCCCGUCUCAAAGCGUGUGCAUGUCUCUCGUGACGUCAUCUUCGACAAAGACGCGCGAUGGACUUGGGAGGCAUCGGGGGAGGCCCCGGCAAGCAGCUCCUUUACCGUGGAGUACCCGAUGUACUCUACGACCCCAGGAAGCAAGACCCCGGGAAGUGCCACCCCGGGAAGCUCGGGAGGUGUGGAUCCGGAAACAGCAACCCCGAGAACACCGUCCCCGGGUACGGUGUCGCCAGACACCAUAACGUCAAGCAAGGUGGGUCCGGGGAGGCAGUUCGCAACCCCGCCAACGGCAAGGUCGGAGCUGUUCGACGCCGACGACAGCGUUGGCGCCCCCCAUAGAUUUUGGCGCAUGGGGGAUCUCCUCGGCGAGGCUGCGGCAACACCGCAACAACCUGAGGAUGAGGACGCUGAUGACGACGAGGUCCUGCAUCUGAUGGCCGGCGAGGAGCUGACCACGUUCGUGGAGGCCGAGCAAGAGGAUUGCUGGAGCCACACGUUGCUGGAUGAGCUGGCGUCGAUCAACGACAACGCCACUUGGACACUCACCACACUACCUGCUGGGCACCGAGCCAUCGGGCUCAAGUGGGUGUUCAAGGUGAAGAAGGACGAGCACGGUGCCAUUGUCAAGCACAAGGCGCACCUCAUCGCAAAGGGCUACGUGCAGCAUGAGGGAGUGGACUUCGAGGAAGUCUUUGCUCCGGUCGCAAGGCUGGAGUCGGUGCGGCUCAUCCUUGCCGUGGCCACUCACCGCGGGUGGGAGGUACACCACAUGGCCGUCAAGUCGGAGUUUCUCAACGGCGACCUUAACAAGGAGGUGUACGUCACCCAGCCACCCGGGUUCGUUGCCAAGGGCCACGAGCAGGGCAUGCAUCGACUACACAAGGCCCUCUAUGGUCUCCGGCAAGCCCCAAGGGCGUGGAACGCCAAGCUCGAUGCAAGCCUUGCAUCCCUUGGGUUCUCACGUGGCGCUUCUGAGCACGGUGUGUACUCGCGUGGCACCGCGAACACGCUGCUCAUCGUCGGCAUCUACGUCGAUGACCUGGUCAUCGCCGGGGCAGAGCCCGAAGAGGUUCAACGCUUCAAGGGAGAGAUGCAUCGCUCUUCAGUAUGA
rnacentral:rRNA from 1 species